rnacentral:rRNA from 1 species
GAAUGCUGACAUAAGUAACGAUAAAGCGGGUGAAAAGCCCGCUCGCCGGAAGACCAAGGGUUCCUGUCCAACGUUAAUCGGGGCAGGGUGAGUCGACCCCUAAGGCGAGGCCGAAAGGCGUAGUCGAUGGGAAACGGGUUAAUAUUCCCGUACUUGGUGUUACUGCGAAGGGGGGACGGAGAAGGCUAUGUUGGCCGGGCGACGGUUGUCCCGGUUUAAGCGUGUAGGUGUGUGUUCCAGGUAAAUCCGGUUCACUUUAACACUGAGGCGUGAUGACGAGGCACUACGGUGCUGAAGCAACAAAUGCCCUGCUUCCAGGAAAAGCCUCUAAGCAUCAGGUAACAUCAAAUCGUACCCCAAACCGACACAGGUGGUCAGGUAGAGAAUACCAAGGCGCUUGAGAGAACUCGGGUGAAGGAACUAGGCAAAAUGGUGCCGUAACUUCGGGAGAAGGCACGCUGACACGUAGGUG